rnacentral:rRNA from 1 species
AUGAGUGAAAAAUGUGCAUUCGCACCGACCAGAAAGAGCGAGAUGUAUGAAUAUUCUGCAACCCUGCAAAGGGUUUUGGAAGGACAAGAUGUUUUCAAGGGAUCAACAAUUGAACAAGCUGAUAGCAAGGGAUCAACUAAUGCUCAGGGUAACAACAUUAGGUUUGGCAUGUUGAUGCCACAAUCGGCUAACCUUGAUGGUGAAAGUUUCGAUAAGGUUUUGGAUCCCAUGCAUGUGCUAGGCCGAGGUUCUCGAAGAAGAAUUAUGAUAGCUACAACAUUGUGCGCACGGUCGGAUAGCAAGUACGUACACGAUCAACCUGAUGUUGGCGUGUGCAUUGUUUUCUAUGUCUAG